AGGUAUCUAGUCUAAAACAAGACUACUAGUUUCGACUUAGAAAAUCAUGAACAUAACCAUGGUUACCUU
rnacentral:tRNA from 1 species